CAGCAGCCGCGGUAAUACGAGGGGGGCAAGCGUUGUUCGGAAUUAUUGGGCGUAAAGGGUGCGUAGGCGGCUUGACAAGUCUUGUGUGAAAUCUAUGGGCUCAACCCAUAGUCUGCACGGGAAACUGUCGGGCUUGAGAAUGGGAGAGGUGAGUGGAAUUUCCGGUGUAGCGGUGAAAUGCGUAGAUAUCGGAAGGAACACCUGUGGCGAAAGCGGCUCACUGGACCAUUUCUGACGCUGAUGCACGAAAGCUAGGGGAGCAAACAGGAUUAGAUACCCGGGUAGUCCCUGUCUCUUAUAC
rnacentral:rRNA from 1 species